rnacentral:tRNA from 1 species
AGAAAUUUAGGUUUAACUAAACCAAAAGCCUUCAAAGCUUCAAAUAAGAGUGAAAACCUCUUAAUUUCUG